GACGAACGCUGGCGGCGUGCUUAACACAUGCAAGUCGAACGGAAAGGCCCUGCUUUUGUGGGGUGCUCGAGUGGCGAACGGGUGAGUAACACGUGAGUAACCUGCCCUUGACUUUGGGAUAACUUCAGGAAACUGGGGCUAAUACCGUAUAGGAUCUCCUGCUGCAUGGUGGGGGUUGGAAAGUUUCGGCGGUUGGGGAUGGACUCGCGGCUUAUCAGCUUGUUGGUGGGGUAGUGGCUUACCAAGGCUUUGACGGGUAGCCGGCCUGAGAGGGUGACCGGCCACAUUGGGACUGAGAUACGGCCCAGACUGCUACGGGAGGCAGCAGUGGGGAAUAUUGCACAAUGGGCGGAAGCCUGAUGCAGCAACGCCGCGUGCGGGAUGACGGCCUUCGGGUUGUAAACCGCUUUCGCCUGUGACGAAGCGUGAGUGACGGUAAUGGGUAAAGAAGCACCGGCUAACUACGUG
rnacentral:rRNA from 1 species